GGGUAGUCCACGCCCUAAACGAAGAGUGAUAAGUGUUAGGGUGUUUCCGCCCCUUAGUGCCGCAGCUAAUGCAUUAAGCACUUCCGCCUGGGGAGUACGGUCGCAAGACUGAAACUCAAAGGAAUUGACGGGGGCCCGCACAAGCGGUGGAGCAUGUGGUUUAAUUGGAAGCAACGCGAAGAACCUUACCAGGUCUUGACAUCCUCUGACAAUCCUAGAGAUAGGACGUCCCCUUCGGGGGCAGAGUGACAGGUGGUGCAUGGUUGUCGUCAGCUCGUGUCGUGAGAUGUUGGGUUAAGUCCCGCAACGAGCGCAACCCUUGAUCUUAGUUGCCAGCAUUCAGUUGGGCACUCUAAGGUGACUGCCGGUGACAAACCGGAGGAAGGUGGGGAUGACGUCAAAUCAUCAUGCCCCUUAUGACCUGGGCUACACACGUGCUACAAUGGACAGAACAAAGGGCAGCGAAACCGCGAGGUUAAGCCAAUCCCACAAAUCUGUUCUCAGUUCGGAUCGCAGUCUGCAACUCGACUGCGUGAAGCUGGAAUCGCUAGUAAUCGCGGAUCAGCAUGCCGCGGUGAAUACGUUCCCGGGCCUUGUACACACCGCCCGUCACACCACGAGAGUUUGUAACACCCGAAGUCGGUGAGGUAACCUUUUAUGGAGCCAGCCGCUCGAAGGUGGGACAGAUGCAGAGAGUGAAGUCUUAUCAGGGCAGGGAGCAA
rnacentral:rRNA from 1 species